rnacentral:lncRNA from 1 species
GAAAAAUGAAGAGGAAAUAAUAGAAGUGGAGAAAAAUUCCAUGGUAUCCGUGUCCCUACCAAAGGAAAAAGAUCGAUCUCAGAAGUGAAUGAGACAGAGACUAGUCACUGCUCACUAAUCAGUAAUCUGUAGUCAUAUACAUAUAUCUCUCUUCAACACCGCCGCCACCAGCUUCUCCCAAUUAUCUCGCGACGACAUCAUCUCUCUUCAGUUUUCAAGUAAAUUAUUGCAUGGGAUUAUGCUAGAAAGAGCCAAAAUCAGUGUGAGAGUUUGAUGAAAUGGCUAGUCUCUUUCCCUUGGAUUUUAAAUUUCGCGGAACUUAGGUGAGUUGAAAAAGCGCGUUGCAAAGUCUAAUUCAACGCAGACGACUAAUCAGAAAGAUGACAACUUUAAAGGAAAAAUUUAGAGACUAAAUAUAUAAACAAUUUUGAAAAGCUACUCACUUUUGACGCUGCGUUUCCUCCUUUUUCCCAGCUGAGCUUUGGCAGCAAUAUCCAAGAAAUUUCAGUGUUUUGCACUUUUAAUUCCAUGUUAAUAAUGAUAAUGAUGUCAAAUCUGACAAAAAUCUACUGCGGAAUAAAGGUGAAAGAGAGAUGCCGUUACCGUUGUCGUCGUCUCGGGACAAUUGGGAGAGGUUGGUGGCGGCCGUGCUCAAGAGACAGCAGUAUUUGCAGCUCUGUUGUCAGUCCUCUAGGAGCCCUAGCAUCAGCACCAUAGAAUCUUCUCGAAUCUCUAGUUUCAGCGAAAGAAUUCUCAAGUAAGAGUCUGUUAAAUCUCGACUAAUUUAUUUAUAAAUGCAGCUUUAGAUUUCAACUGCUUGUUUGUUGAUUCUUUCGUUUCCGCAGUGACAUUCUGGAGCGUGUUUCUGUGGCUAACCACCGAGGUUUGUAAUUUCUUAACCUCAUUUCACAAUUUGAAUCUGUAUGCAAGGUCUAUCCAUAAACUGUAGAGAAAAAUCGAAGUUGUAUACAAUGGCAUUUUGAGGAGAUAUUUUGUGUGAUUUUUCUAAGGUCUAAUAACAGAAAAAGUAAGGAAUAUGAAAGUGAAUUGUGUUGUUUGGAUUUGGAUUUGACUUGAGUAUACACUUAAUUACAAGAAA